rnacentral:rRNA from 1 species
UACGUAGGUGGCAAGCGUUGUCCGGAUUUACUGGGCGUAAAGGGCGUGCAGGCGGUUUGUUAAGUGCAGGGUGAAAGCUCCCGGCUCAACUGGGAGAGGUCCUUGCAUACUGGCAAACUCGAGGGAGGCAGAGGAAAGUGGAAUUCCCGGUGUAGUGGUGAUAUGCGUAGAUAUCGGGAGGAACACCUGUGGCGAAGGGCGGCUUUCUGGGCCUUACC